UACGUAGGGUGCGAGCGUUAAUCGGAAUUACUGGGCGUAAAGCGUGCGCAGGCGGUUCGUGAUGUCUGAUGUGAAAGCCCCGGGCUCAACCUGGGAACUGCAUUGGAAACUAGCGGGCUGGAGUGUGGCAGAGGGGGGUAGAAUUCCACGUGUAGCAGUGAAAUGCGUAGAGAUGUGGAGGAAUACCGAUGGCGAAGGCAGCCCCCUGGGCCAAUACUGACGCUCAUGCACAAAAGCGUGGGAGCAAACGAGG
rnacentral:rRNA from 1 species